rnacentral:rRNA from 1 species
CACGUAGGCGGAUCUUUAAGUCAGGGGUGAAAUCCCGGAGCUCAACUCCGGAACUGCCUUUGAUACUGGAGAUCUUGAGUCCGGGAGAGGUGAGUGGAACUGCGAGUGUAGAGGUGAAAUUCGUAGAUAUUCGCAAGAACACCAGUGGCGAAGGCGGCUCACUGGCCCGGUACUGACGCUGAGGUGCGAAAGCGUGGGAGCAAACA